rnacentral:rRNA from 1 species
UACAGAGGUCUCAAGCGUUGUUCGGAUUCAUUGGGCGUAAAGGGUGUGUAGGUGGCGCCGUAAGUCGGGUGUGAAAUUUCGGAGCUUAACUCCGAAACUGCAUUCGAUACUGCGGUGCUUGAGGGCUGGAGAGGAGACUGGAAUUCAUGGUGUAGCAGUGAAAUGCGUAGAGAUCAUGAGGAAGACCAGUGGCGAAGGCGGGUCUCUGGGCCGAUACUGACGCUGAGACGCGAAAGCGUGGGGAGCGAACAGG